rnacentral:lncRNA from 1 species
UGUCUAUUUUUAUAUUUUAUUUUUCUGUUUAUCUGAUUAAUUCUUGGUCAUAUUUAUUUAUUUCAAGUCUAUUCUCUCUCUCUCUCUCUCUCUCUCCCCUCCGAAUAUUCUCGGGGUUUUCCGAGAGCAAACGGAAUCUUCAAGGUUCAAUCUUCCUGUGCGCGGGUGUGUGCGUGCACACUCGUGGCCACGACGCGUAGCCUUAGGCGUGAUUAAAUGUGCCUUUUCGCGCCCUCUGAGGGCCAAAUGCUGCUCGUCCUAAUCCACACUGCCCUCUGUUUACGCUACGUUCAAUCAUUGCUUCCACCACGCCCUGUCAUCGGUGCGUGCUUCCCAGUACCCGUAGGAUUUUGACACCUGUCAUUAUCUAUACAAGGGAAUCGAGGAUAUAUAUCCCCGGAUUCUCGACGGUGCAGCGAUUCCCUGGAGGUGGGCGUACUGUAGAGAUGGUGAAUAAGGGCUUAGUAUGUUCGGCGCGUUUUGGCCACUGGCUCGGGUUGAUCGAUGGCCCAGGUAAUAGUCGGGCUGGGGCUUAUUUGGAUUCAGCCCAUUAAUUUAGUUUGGGUCACAAACGCGGUCACACCGUUCAUUUUAGAUUUUCUUUGUAAUUUUUUUUUGACUUUUCAACUAGUAUUAGAACUUAAAUAAAAUAAAGUUUGGCAG